UACGUAGGAGGCGAGCGUUGUCCGGAAUUACUGGGCGUAAAGCGCGUGUAGGCGGUCUGAAUAGUCUGCUGUGAAAGCGCCUGGCUUAACCGGGCGAGGUCGGCGGAAACUCUCAGACUGGAGGCCGGUAGAGGGGGGUGGAAUUCCCGGUGUAGUGGUGAAAUGCGUAGAGAUCGGGAGGAACACCAGUGGCGAAGGCGGCCCUCUGGGCCGGGCCUGACGCUGAGACGCGAGGGCGUGGGGAGCGAACGGG
rnacentral:rRNA from 1 species